AGAUGCUACCUGAUUUGUGCUCUGGCUAAUGUCACUCACGUCAGGAGUGUUGCCAAAUGCAAUGAGGUGCGACUGACACCAGGAAAGAUGAUGAGCAAAGAGAAUGGCAGCUGGCUGUGUUUCCUUCUUAUAGCAUUUUAAUGAAUCAAGGAGCAUCCUGAUAGAGUACAUCUGUACAUGCUAGAAGCCAGACUCUAAGAUCUGAGAACCCUAAGGCGGCUCCAUCUUCAUGACAGGGAGGAUGGGUCCUGAAUAGAGGGAUGAGGCCUGAGAAAUAUAAUUUUAACAAUAAAAAUACACUAGAGUUACCAACAGGGUCCCAAAGGGAGUGGAUAGGGGAUCUAGAAAGCUACUACAAGGGGCCCAUUCCUCUUUCAUUAUUGCUUCCCUUUCUUCUCUCUCUCUGCCAAUCAGCUUUUUUUCCUUUACCUCCCAGUCUGCCUGGUGGAAGACAA
rnacentral:lncRNA from 1 species